CGUCUAAUCACCCCAUUGUAUUCAGACGGCAACAAGAGGAGGCAUCAGAUUCAGAGAAAUUGUUGAGCACAAAUCAGCCUUGACAGCAGGCAGAGCUGCUCAGUGGGUGAGCUGCUCAGUACUAACAACAUUGUGGGACCAUGGGAGAGACUUGGCACCAGCAACCGCCAUCUCGCCAUCAAAAAGGCAAUCUUCGACAGACUGAUGUUGGUGAACGGACUGCAGGAGGUGAAUGGGCACUGGGGGAGCCUACAAAGAGCAGCCGGGAACUCUGGAGGCACUGUGCCUACAGCUGCAAGAACAGAGUAAUGCAGUGGAGGGAGGAAUGGCCUUCUCUGCCUCCUGAAGAGAAAAUUGAGUGAACUGACACAAGACCAAGGAAACACCAGGAACACCUAGCAAAAGCUGGUCCUAUUGCUGAGAGCUCAGAUGACAACUGCUAUGCUUUCUGAAAUCAUUCACCAACCCUGCCUCUGCUCCCUCGGGAGCAGCCUGGUCUCCUGACGUUGACGCCUGACCCCUCACCUUCUGAACCCACCCAGAGAAAUAUAAUUUGCCUGAUGAUGCGCUAGUGGAGAAGCAAUGUCUGAUUUCAGUGCAUUUGUUGCCAUGUUUCCUCUCCUCACUUUUCUUCCAGUCGUAGACUAUGGCGACAUCA